AUUAACUUCAGCAGAGUUACGCUGGAAGUGAAUUUGUCCCCAGGAGGCUUUUCGAAAUGCUCGGCUCUUUCCUUAUGAUUACCCAGAGGAGCGGAGGAGAAGGCAAGACAGAGGGCCCUUUGAUAGGAGGAAUGUGGUUCAAAGCAAAGUCUUGUUCCCGCCGUUCGUGGUGCUCCAUCUGUUCCUCAUUUGGGCUGGAGGUGGGUCAGGGCCCGCAGAGGCACGCGUGCUGUGGCUGAGGGGCAGGCAGGGGCUUUGCACAGCACAUCUGGUGCGCAGGUUAUGUUCCUUCCACGGCUGGAAAACAGCGGGAGGAAUGUUCGGAUACUUCACGCAUACUUCUGCGGAACUGCUUGGAAGUCAGAAAAUGGAGCAGCCGAAUGUUAAGGUAUCAAACUCAUCCCAAUCGUCAAGCUGUCUAAACUCCAGCCCAGCCGCUUUUUAGAUGUCAAACGAUCCUGUGAGUGGAGAUGUAUGAAUCAGUGCUGCCAUGGAUUCGCCUAUUGUAAAGAUACUUGCAGAAUACAAAAGAGGUCUGGCUUCCCUGAAGUCAAGAUGGUUUCCUCAGCUGGAGGAGGGAGAUCUUGUGCCAAGAUUGGCCUGCCAGGACCAAAAAAUUUGGAUCUGAAUUAGAUUAAGAAGAAAAUGAAUUUACCCCAUCUGUAUAUUUGGUUCCUGAUUUCUCUCGCUUCCAUUUUAUGAAUUACAAAUAAAUGGACUCCCGUGAUGUUGGUCUGAAAGGAAACCCAAGUCCUCAUCUCUACUUGCUGAUGAAAUUGAUGGUUUUUUUCCUUCUCUUCUGGUUUUGAAAAGAAAAUAACCAAAAUAAACAUCAAGGGAAAAAGCCAAUAACUUCUAACACAGCCAGUGAAGUGUAAAGAGCUGCAUGUUGGAAGGGAAAAACUGAACACAUUUGGGAAGUGCUGGGGAGCAAUUCAGGAUCCAACACAUUGGGUGGGAUGGUUACUGUGAGGAGCUGAUAUUUGUGUAUUUUAUGGGACAACCUUUUGCAAGUUAGAUAGAAACCACUCGUACUCUCUAUUACUACGCUUAGACACAAGCUUCCUGGCACCAACUUAUUCUACAUAUAAGAACCAACUGCAAAGUAUAAUAAGAGAACGUUCAGCCUACUCUUUUAUAGAUGAUUGACAAAAUGGUUUUAAAAGUGGCCUCAUCCUUGCCACAUUUAAAGACACAGAGAAGAGCCCUCAACGACUGCUCUGGGAUGAUUUGGGUUCGUUUGGAGCGUGCGGAGGAGGGCAGCUUUUUGCCUUAGGAGGUCUCACGGUCAUUGGAAUUGAAAGGAAGAGAGCAUUGGGUUGGGGUCUUUUUUAACCAAAUGUAUUAUUUGUCCAAAUUGUUUAUUAGGUAUUCAAUGAAGUGGAGUUUAACAACAAAAAUAAUAAAUCUGAGCGUUUUCAGCACUCUGGCUUAAAGUGCUUUCCCUUCACAGCUGCUUGUCUUUGCAAUUUUAUAUCCAGUGAUAUUAUAAUGACAUUAAUUUUCCAGCUGUCAGGGGAAUUUCAAAGCUGAUUCUGUGCUUCAAAUGUAAAAAUCAAGAAUUCCCAGCAGCUUUUUUUGGUUAAACUUCUGGAUAACAUUUCAAAAUGGUUCUUUGUCAAAG
rnacentral:lncRNA from 1 species